GGUAAGGUGGCUCAAUGGUAGAGUGCUUGCCUUGCAUGCAUGAGGCCCUAGGUUUGAUUCCUUAGCACCA
rnacentral:tRNA from 1 species